AUUGAACGCUGGCGGCAUGCCUUACACAUGCAAGUCGAACGGCAGCACGGGAGCAAUCCUGGUGGCGAGUGGCGAACGGGUGAGUAAAGUAUCGGAACGUGCCCAGUCGUGGGGGAUAACGUAGCGAAAGUUACGCUAAUACCGCAUACGAUCUAUGGCUGAAAGCGGGGGAUCGCAAGACCGCGCGCGAUUGGAGCGGCAGCUAUCAGAUUAGGUCGUUGGUGGGGUAAAGGCUCACCAAGACGACGAUCUGUAGCUGGUCGGAGAGGACGACCAGCCACACUGGGACUGAGACACGGCCCAGACUCCUACGGGAGGCAGCAGUGGGGAAUUUUGGACAAUGGGCGAAAGCCUGAUCCAGCCAUGCCGCGUGCAGGAUGAAGGCCUUCGGGUUGUAAACUGCUUUUGUACGGAACGAAAAGGUUUGGGCUAAUAAGCUGAGCUCAUGACGGUACCGUAAGAAUAAGCACCGGCUAACUACGUGCCAGCAGCCGCCGUAA
rnacentral:rRNA from 1 species